CGGACGGGUGAGUAACGCGUGAGAAUCUACCUUUUGGACUGGGAUAACAGUUGGAAACGACUGCUAAUACCGGAUGAGCCGCAAGGUAAAAAAGCUAUUGCCAAGAGAGGAGCUCGCGCCUGAUUAGCUAGAUGGUGGGGUAAGAGCCUACCAUGGCGACGAUCAGUAGCUGGUCUGAGAGGAUGAGCAGCCACACUGGGACUGAGACACGGCCCAGACUCCUACGGGAGGCAGCAGUGGGGAAUUUUCCGCAAUGGGCGCAAGCCUGACGGAGCAAUACCGCGUGAGGGAAGAAGGUUUUUGGAUUGUAAACCUCAAAAUUUAGGGAAGAAGAAAGUGACGGUACCUAAUCUAAGCAUCGGCUAACUCCGUGCCAGCAGCCGCGGUAAUACGGAGGAUGCAAGCGUUAUCCGGAAUCAUUGGGCGUAAAGAGUCUGUAGGUGGCACUUCAAGUCUGCUGUCAAAGACCGAAGCUCAACUUCGGGAAGGCGGUGGAAACUGAAGAGCUAGAGAUAAGCAGGGGUAGAGGGAAUUCCCAGUGUAG
rnacentral:rRNA from 1 species